GAUAAACGCUGGCGGCGUGCCUAACACAUGCAAGUCGAACGCCCUUACGCAAGUAAGGGAGUGGCGGACGGGUGAGGAACACGUGGGUGAUCUGCCUUGAGGUGAGGAAUACCGGCGAGAAAUCGCCGACAAUACCGCAUACGUUCGCAAGAACAAAGUCGCAAGACGCCUUGAGAUGAGCCUGCGUCCGAUUAGCUAGUUGGUGGGGUAAAAGCCUACCAAGGCAGCGAUCGGUAGCUGGUCUGAGAGGACGAUCAGCCACACUGGGAUUGAGAACGGCCCAGACUCCUACGGGGGCAGCAGUGAGGAAUUUUCGUCAAUGGCCGAAAGGCUGAACGAGCAACGCCGCGUGCAGGAAGAAGGUCUUCGGAUCGUAAACUGCUUUUCUGGGGGAAGAGCACGGACGGUACCCCAGGAAGAAGCCCCGGCUAACUACGUGCCAGCAGCCG
rnacentral:rRNA from 1 species